GGAUAGGAAGAUAAAAGGCAUCUUUUAUCUUUUAAAAGACCUAGUAAUAGGUAUGCUUUAGGAGGGGCUUGCGCCAUAUUAGUUAGUUGGUAGGGUAAUGGCCUACCAAGACGAUGAUGUGUAGCUGGACUGAGAGGUUGAACAGCCACAUUGGGACUGAGACACGGCCCAAACUCCUACGGGAGGCAGCAGUAGGGAAUUUUCGGCAAUGGAGGAAACUCUGACCGAGCAACGCCGCGUGAAUGACGAAGUACUUCGGUAUGUAAAGUUCUUUUAUCAAGGAAGAAAAGCAAAUGGCGAACCAUUUGUUUGCCGGUACUUGAUGAAUAAGCCCCGGCUAAUUAUGUGCCAGCAGCCGCGGUAAGACAUAAGGGGCAAGUGUUAUCCGGAAUUAUUGGGCGUAAAGGGUGCGUAGGCGGUCUAGUAAGUCAGUGGUGUAAUGGCAACGCUUAACGUUGUCCGGCUAUUGAAACUGCUAAACUUGAGUUAGAUAGAGGCGAGUGGAAUUCCAUGUGUAGCGGUAAAAUGCGUAAAUAUAUGGAGGAACACCAGAGGCGUAGGCGGCUCGCUGGGUCUUAACUGACGCUGAGGCACGAAAGCGUGGGGAGCAAACAGGAUUAGAUACCCUGGUAGUCCACGCCGUAAACGAUGAGUACUAAGUGUCGGGUUAAACCGGUACUGAAGUUAACACAUUAAGUACUCCGCCUGAGUAGUACGUACGCAAGUAUGAAACUUAAAGGAAUUGACGGGACUCCGCACAAGCGGUGGAUCAUGUUGUUUAAUUCGAAGAUACCCGAAAAACCUUACCAGGUCUUGACAUGUUUUUGCAAAAUGAUAGUGAUAUCGUGGAGGUUACCAGAAACACAGGUGGUGCAUGGUUGUCGUCAGCUCGUGUCGUGAGAUGUUAGGUUAAGUCCUAAAACGAGCGAAACCCUUAUCGUUAGUUGCCAGCACGUUAUGGUGGGGACUUUAACGAGACUGCCAAUGAUAAAUUGGAGGAAGGUGAGGAUCACGUCAAAUCAGCAUGCCCCUUAUGACCUGGGCUACAAACGUGAUACAAUGGCUGUUACAAAGGGUAGCUGAAACGCAAGUUCUUGGCCAAUCCCCAAAAACAGUCCCAGUCCGGAUUGAAGUCUGCAACUCGACUUCAUGAAGUUGGAAUCGCUAGUAAUCGCGAAUCAGCAUGUCGCGGUGAAUACGUUCACGG
rnacentral:rRNA from 1 species